rnacentral:rRNA from 1 species
UACAGAGGUCUCAAGCGUUGUUCGGAUUCAUUGGGCGUAAAGGGAGCGUAGGUGGCGUCGUAAGUCAGGUGUGAAAUCUCGGGGCUCAACCCCGAAACUGCACCCGAUACUGCGAUGCUAGAGUACUGGAGAGGAGAUUGGAAUUUACGGUGUAGCAGUGAAAUGCGUAGAUAUCGUAAGGAAGACCAGUGGCGAAGGCGAAUCUCUGGACAGUUACUGACACUGAGGCUCGAAAGGCCAGGGGAGCAAACGGG